rnacentral:rRNA from 1 species
UACAGGGGGUGCAAACGUUGCUCGGAAUCAUUGGGCGUAAAGCGCACGUAGGCGGUUCGUUAUGUCGGAUGUGAAAGCCCUUGGCUUAACCGAGGAAGUGCAUCCGAAACUGGCGAGCUAGAGUACGAAAGAGGAUCGCGGAAUUCCCGGUGUAGAGGUGAAAUUCGUAGAUAUCGGGAGGAACACCGGUGGCGAAGGCGGGACUCUGGGCCGAUACUGACGCUGAGGAGCGAAAGCAUGGGGAGCGAACAGG